UACGGAGGGAGCUAGCGUUGUUCGGAAUUACUGGGCGUAAAGAGCGCGCAGGCGGUCGUUCAAGUCGCGUGUGAAAGCCCCCGGCUCAACUGGGGAGGGUCACGCGAUACUGAUCGACUCGAAGGCAGGAGAGGGAAGUGGAAUUCCCGGUGUAGUGGUGAAAUGCGUAGAUAUCGGGAGGAACACCAGUGGCGAAGGCGACUUCCUGGCCUGUUCUUGACGCUGAGGCGCGAAAGCUAGGGGAGCAAACGGG
rnacentral:rRNA from 1 species